UGUUCCUUAUUCUGCCUAGUACGUCUAGAUUUUUGGUCGUCCGUCCGACGUCCUUCGUCUUCGUUCGAAACCGCCCCCGCCCGCAGGCCUUGACUCCCUUUCUUUUCCCCAAAAAUCAGCAAUUCCUUCCCCUCGCCCCCAAUUGCGCUUCCCUUUUUCUCAUCCAUCACUAGCGAUCUCACCCAAACAAAUAUACAAAAUCUCACCCUGACCACAUCUGCCUCAGCAGCACUGGCGACUCCCAUCGCCCUCACCGCGACUCGCCUCCCCCACAUCGCCGCCAGGCAUGCAAGGCCUGGUGGGCAUGGACAUGUCCAACAGCACGGUAAGAUCCGUUUGGUCGAUGGACGGCAGAAGUAAAACAUACGGCGAGGCGCUCUGCUACCGGUACAGAGGCGUCGGGCGGCUGGCGUGGGGAGGUGGAAUAAUCAUGGGAACGUUCCUUUGCCUCCCGAUCUUCGUCCCUGGGCAAUUUCUAGCUACUGUUUCCGAUGAUGCAACCCACCGCCGCCGCCAGCAUGUUCACCUCAUGCUCGCCCUCCUUCCAAUCCAUCUAGAUUCCCACCGUCCUCUUCUUCUCCAGCCCGUCCAGGUGAAGGAGGCAGCAGCUCAACCAACGCCGUCGAUUCUCCGACAGCAGUGCUCCGCAGGUGUCCCUCCCGCCAGCAGCACCCAAGAGGCCAAGACCAACGACGGCAUCCCUCCCGACAGUAGUUCUUCCAUCCACGAUGGCUGCUACGGCUAUUGGUUCAUCUCAGGUUGCAACUUCUAAACUAAAAAGGAAUUCAGAUGAUAUGGGUUGGGAAUUUGCUGUGCUGAUCGAUCCCAAUGAUCCGCAAAGAGUCAAGUGCAAGCUUUGUGGAAAAUAAAUGUCGGGAGGGGUGAUCCGGAUGAAGGAACACAUUGCUCAGAGGCUCAGUGACACCUUGUUUGCAUGACACACCAGAUCAGCAAGCUCGUUCUGAGAUUUCUCAUAUUGUUUCUGGACAUGCACACUCUCUCCGCUAAGGCUGUGAUGUUCUCAAUUUUCAUGUGGCUACCACUAUUUUUAAUGAAUGGCGGUGAUCUAUCAUUUAUUUGAUUGUAAAGAGCUAGAAAUGUAUUAUUUGCAAAAGUUUUUAUAGCUUUAUCAUUCUAGCCUCCUCUCUACAAUGAAUCCCUCGAGCCGAAGGACUACUUUUCUCUCCAUGUGAGUCGCUAUUUUAGAUUUGGAUUUUUUCUAGAUGUAUAGAGAUGUACAUUCUGGUUUGGCAAUGUAGAUUUAGUCGGUGUUUUGAUGAGAGAUGUAUAUAAGCGAUACCUACUAUUGCGCUUUGUGAAAGAUGCGUGACAAAGGUUCUCCAGGUUGCUGCUAUUGUGGUUUGUGAAAUAUAUCUUCUUGCCAACCUAUAAUCGACUACUUACUAUGACAUCUUGCAAUGAUUCAUUUCUUUUACAUGUAGUUAAGCUUUUAGCUGUAGUCAAAUCGGCCAUGUCAUACUAUUUUUCUUGACAUAUCCAGGAGGUGGCGAAUGCUUCAGGUUUUAUUAUUGUGUGCCAUUGAACAAUGGAAAUGGAAUUUUGGUUUUGUGAUGAUCUGGUUGGAGCGUUAGUAGUCAAGUUUGUAAGCGGGUAAUAAAUUAAUGGAGGGCAACAGACAAAUUAUAACUAUAGUUACAUUAAAAGAUGAAGAUGAUUGAGUCGAAAUGUAAUAUAUAUUUCGUAAAUACGUUGCAAUAACCAGAGUAUGAUAUUGUGAAUCAAUCUAUUUGAACAAGCUAUUCUGUGUGCUUCAUCCUAUCCCCACUCGCUGUAUAGCUACCCGCUGACCCUGGAAGCUGCAACGCGUGAUGCUGCUCGACAGCAUCUCGAGUGUAUGGAGCAAAUUGAGAUGAAAGUGUCUUCAACUUUCAAAGAUGUUGAUUUGGAGAAGGGGAGAGUGGAACUUCUCCAUCAUCAGCUGGAGAAGAAGAAUGAGAAGCUAAUACAAUGUUUCUCAUUCUUCAUCCUGGGCAAUGAUCUUUCUAUGUACUAUCCGGUGUUUGACUAUAUGUGUAAUAAGUGACGGCUAUCUCUUCUAUGAGCCUUCACGGGUGCUUGCCUGGUGUUUGCUUUUCUUGAACAUCGUGUGGUGUUUGCUUUUCCUUGAACAUCGUGUAUCUGGUAACUGUUAUCGGUAUUGUGGUCGAAUAGACUUC